UUUGCCAUCUUUCAUUCAGGAACUCAGGGAAGCAUAUCUAUAGCAUCUUCAACCCAUUUGAGCUCCCACAGCUAAAGGCAGACUGGAAGCUCCAUGUCUCCAGUGCCACUCCAACCCUUUAACCACUACACCACACUGUCUCUUUGUUUUAAGGUUGUUCCCUUUUUUAUAUCUCACAAAAAAUUUUCAGAAAAGGCCCAGGGGAGUUUACAAGGAAGCUGUGGAAGGAACUGGAGAUCUACAUGUCCAGUUGAAACAUGCUGCAGAACAGGCUGCAUGGUUUGGUUUGCACUUUUGAAAAAAAGGAGAA